rnacentral:lncRNA from 1 species
GGUCACAUUGGUUCGUGAAUACUGCCACUAAGGAUUUGAGGCCCCUCUGCCUGCCCCCCAUGGGUGGCUCUUAAGAGGUUUUCAUCAGACUCUUGAGGGUCUGAUGGAAACUCUGCAUCUUCUUCCAAGAAAAAUGCAUCUACUCAAAAAUUCUGUAUAUGACACCAGGACUCCCUGCAGACCAUCCUCACAUCCCUGGUUAGGAAUCUCCAUCUGGAAGCUGAUACCCAAAAAUAAAUUCUGAGGCAGCCUCCCUCCCCAAACUGUGGGGCUCAGGGCAAAUUCAAAGUAAUAAAGUAAUAACCUCUCACAUGAGUGCUGUGCUCGACAACUCACAGUGCACGUUCACAUACAUUGCUGGGAUAGACCCUAGGGUCUGGAUUAUAAUUGAAUAAAGGAGGUCAAGGCCCAGAGAGGUCCAGUGACUUGCUCAAGGUCACACAGUCAGUCUGGGCAAAGUCACUCCAGACUCUCUUACCUUUAUGGGGUCUCACAGAAGCCCAACACAGUUUGCCCAGCAGUGGGGAAGAUGCAUUGGAGAACAGGUUGCAUUUGGCCCCUGGGGAAACUGGUCCUGGCUGUGUUCAGCCGGCUCCUGCCGCUGCUCCACAGAGGCACACCCAGCUUGGCCUCUGUGGUGAGCUGUGGUUUGAGCAGCCUCCCUCCUCACGAAGGCAGAGAGAGGGCCAGUUGCCAGGCUGUGGCUUGUGAGAAGGAGGGAACCAGAGGAGGGGCAAUGGCAGAAACCAGACCUGUAGCCUGAACUCCAGGAACCCGGGGGACAAAGACUCCCUGACCACCACUUGUCCCAAGAGUGCAGACACCUCACUGGCCAGGAGCACACACCCAGGAGUAUAAAAUGUGGCAGCGGGGCACAGGAGUCAGGAUACAGAGCCAUGUUCCAUGUGUAUAAUGUUCACAUACAGGCACCAGACUUGACCAUGGGAGACUAGUUUUUAAGUUUCCAAGGAAUUCUUGCUCCCUAAACACGUACUUGACCCAGAAAAUUAUUCAGCCUGCAAGACCCAGCUCCCUCCAUGAAGCAUCUGAUGACUAAGGGGCCUGCUCCCUCCUCACGGCCCUGGAUUCAGAUCCUGCUUAGGCACUGCCUGGUCAUUAUCUGACUCCUCUAAAGACUGUGCCUCUAGUAGGCUGGAGCCCUGGACUCAACUCAAUAUUUCACCCCUGCCCCUGGCAAUAGGGGGUCAAUGGACAUUUGUUCAAUAAGCUCUAGAUACCAGAAAAGGGUGAACUUUCAGCUUCACUUGUUCUGUGACUUCAGGCUAAAUCCAAAACCUCUGCGGUCGAAGAAAGCCAUUGCCACCCCUCCCCACCCUGUUCCCUCUUAGGUGGAAGGCAAUUGUGGCCCUUAGAAACCCUCUGAAGAAAAAUCUAACAGCUUUUCUCAGGCUGAAAUGGGAGAGGGUGAAGGUUUUGGAAAGAAAACUGUCAUUCUUAUGUCUUUCCCCAAACCAGAUUAUUUCCCUUUGCUCCAAACAGUUGGCAAAGAUGUCUGGGCAGAGAAAGGGUCCUGGCUUGAUGCAUGGCUCUGCAGGCAGCUGGGUGACUCCGGCCUCUGUUGAUUUGCAGCCUGGGCCAGGGCUGGGGAGAGUUGCUGAGGGGCGGGCUCAGGCUCACAGGUCGGCUGCUGCUCGGGCUUUCAACUGUUCCCUCUGAUCACAAUGAGUUCAUGAAUUUAUGUUAGUUUUAUGCCUAUCUCUUCCCCUGGACUUCCAAGCUCUGGAGCACAGGAACCACAUUGUAUUUAAUUCAGGAGCCUCAGGGCCUGGCACAAUGCCAAGCACACAGUAAGUGCUCAAUAAAUGCUAAAGACAAAAACGCACUGCAACCUCCCUGCCAGCCUGGUUUCUGGAGCACCCCUGUCUCUCUUAAUGGAAAGAGCUUCUUAGAGCUUCCCAUGCUGACCAAAGAGGGACUGCCAUGGUCACGGGCCCCUCUUCCCUCUUACGGUUAGUUCUCUUAGCUGGAGGGCAGGGCCCUUCUCCUCUGAGCUGCUUCUGAGGCUACUUAUUUGUUUAUUUCCAAACCCAAAAAUGCUUCUUAGGUUUUCCUGCUACCUGGUUUGAAGCUCCGACCACCCCAGCACCACUUCUGCUCUGCCCCAU